rnacentral:rRNA from 1 species
GAGUUAUCUGAGCCUUCGGGGGACGAUAACGGCGUCGAGCGGCGGACGGGUGAGUAAUGCCUAGGAAAUUGCCCUGAUGUGGGGGAUAACCAUUGGAAACGAUGGCUAAUACCGCAUGAUGCCUACGGGCCAAAGAGGGGGACCUUCGGGCCUCUCGCGUCAGGAUAUGCCUAGGUGGGAUUAGCUAGUUGGUGAGGUAAGGGCUCACCAAGGCGACGAUCCCUAGCUGGUCUGAGAGGAUGAUCAGCCACACUGGAACUGAGACACGGUCCAGACUCCUACGGGAGGCAGCAGUGGGGAAUAUUGCACAAUGGGCGCAAGCCUGAUGCAGCCAUGCCGCGUGUGUGAAGAAGGCCUUCGGGUUGUAAAGCACUUUCAGUCGUGAGGAAGGUAGUGUAGUUAAUAGCUGCAUUAUUUGACGUUAGCGACAGAAGAAGCACCGGCUAACUCCGUGCCAGCAGCCGCGGUAAUACGGAGGGUGCGAGCGUUAAUCGGAAUUACUGGGCGUAAAGCGCAUGCAGGUGGUUUGUUAAGUCAGAUGUGAAAGCCCGGGGCUCAACCUCGGAAUAGCAUUUGAAACUGGCAGACUAGAGUACUGUAGAGGGGGGUAGAAUUUCAGGUGUAGCGGUGAAAUGCGUA